rnacentral:rRNA from 1 species
AUUGAACGCUGGCGGCAGGCCUAACACAUGCAAGUCGAACGGUAACAGGAAGCAGCUUGCUGCUUCGCUGACGAGUGGCGGACGGGUGAGUAAUGUCUGGGAAGCUGCCUGAUGGAGGGGGAUAACUACUGGAAACGGUAGCUAAUACCGCAUAAUGUCGCAAGACCAAAGAGGGGGACCUUCGGGCCUCUUGCCAUCGGAUGUGCCCAGAUGGGAUUAGCUUGUUGGUGGGGUAACGGCUCACCAAGGCGACGAUCCCUAGCUGGUCUGAGAGGAUGACCAGCCACACUGGAACUGAGACACGGUCCAGACUCCUACGGGAGGCAGCAGUGGGGAAUAUUGCACAAUGGGCGCAAGCCUGAUGCAGCCAUGCCGCGUGUAUGAAGAAGGCCUUCGGGUUGUAAAGUACUUUCAGCGGGGAGGAAGGGAGUAAAGUUAAUACCUUUGCUCAUUGACGUUACCCGCAGAAGAAGCACCAGCUAACUCCGUG